UGUUCGAACUAGAACAGUGUGCUGUGGUGAUCUGAAUUUACGAGACAAAUAUGAAUUAAAGGAGAUUUUUUCUGAGGUGGAAAAUAUUCUACAGAUUAUAUCUUCUGAGACUUCCAGCGAUAUGUGCGUCAACGAUAUAGAUGAUGAUCUUCUAAAUGUGGAGAGUUGUUUAACCGAAAUUAAUAGUCACAGGAAAAGUUGUUUAAAAGUGUUUGCCGAAAGUGCCGAACUGGUUCAUUGGGUGAGAAAGUUUACAAAAGAUGAAAAAGAGUUAAAGGUAUUUAUUGAUCUGGCCAUGAUAUCAGCUGGGGAAAGCGAUUUGGAAAUCGACCGUAUUUCUUGUAUGCAUACGAGCUGUUUGGGCUUUAGCUCCUUGAUAUUUGGCUAUAGUGAAGAGCAUGGUUUUCCUGAACUGAUGGAUCUUUGCAAACGUCUCUGGCAAGUGGUUGAUGCUAAUCCAACUAUUGACAAAAGCUAGAAACAACCCAAAGAAAUCUUUCUUGGUUGAAGCAGAUCAAGGAGUCACAUGGCUCAGUUGCUAUGACAACAAUGGUCCAAGUAGAAGCAAUCAAUUCAUGUGGUAUUUAUUACAUAGCUGACCUUGAAAAACUAAAUGUAACA